UAGAAAUAAAGUGCAUGGUAAGUGUCAUGGACUUAAAUCAUCCUGAUGCCAUCCCCCCUAACUGGUCUGUGGAGAAAUUAUCUUCAUGAAACUGGUCCCUGGUGCCAAAAAAAUUUGGAACCACUGCUCUAACCCUCCCACCACCUUCACUCACUUCCUGUAUGUUGUCCUGGGCUGGCUAAGUGCUAUGGAAAUGUUCAUGGGGGUCUUUGUUCUGCCAUCUCAAACUGUGCAAAUUCUAAGAAACUUGGAAGAUAAAGUAUUUGGCUAGUGGGAAAAAAAAUUUAUAAUGUUUUCAACAUUAGCUGGAGUGACAGUUUGGUAAUCAGCUCUCUGAGAAAGCUUCAGCAUAUUCUGAAAAUUGGCAGUUAGCUCCAGAGUGAGCUAAUUAGUUAGGAAUGACUUUUAAUACUCACUACCUUUAAUAGCCUACCCUUGGAGAAAAGACAGAUAAUGAACACUUGGAAAUCUAUGGUGCUGCAACUUGACCUUCAUGCCAUUUGGGGGAAAUGAGAAAGAUGACUCAUAAUUUAUUAUUUAAAGAAUCCUCCUUUUAUAAUGUUAUUGUGAAAGAUUUGACAAAUAAUGAUUGCUCCUUUAGGAACUCUCAUUUAAUCAAAGAAUCAGAAAACAGGAAGAAUAGAAAACUUGUGUGACUAAGCAAUGUUUAAUCUUAUUUGAAACUGGCUCCACCACCCUGGUGAUAGAAAGAGAAGGUCCUAUGGAGUCUUCCCAUAGCAAGAAACCCGGCUUGUAACAGGGUAUAAUAGAGUGACACCCCACACCUGAUGCCCAGUAAAUGCAGAGUCUGCAAAUGCCUCUCUUUUGAGGCUUUCUCAAGGUAAGUCAUAAAUGAAGUCUUACUAAACAAGCUGCUUGCCAACAGUUGCCCAGGCACCCCAUGGGACUGCACUUCACUGAGCAUCUGAAGAAAGUAUUCAUUGGAAAUGGGCUCUCCUGGGAGACUGUCUGGAUCCCGAGUGUUUGGCGUUCAUGUUCCCACACCUGGCUGCUGCUUCUUGCCCUUGCUUAGCUGUAGGUGUGAGUGCUUGUUUGUUUAAACCUCUCUCAGCACUGCUUGGAAAAACAAAACAACAUGGUUACUUGUCUGGGCAUUGAAUGUUCUUCCUGAAUUUUGGUCCUGCCCAUUGGCCCAGAGGCGUAAUGGGUGGGGCAAGUUUCGGGGUUAGUUUGGAAAGUUUCAAGAAGAAGCUAUGGGCUGGGUCUGUUAGGUUGGGAUUGCUCUUGGUUUUAAUCCUUUCGGAAUGUCUGAGGGUCAGGAGCAUUGCCAUUGAUGGCUAUGGGAGUUGUCAGGCUGUGACUCUCUUUCUCACAGAGAAUGCCAGAGGCACCCGGGAAGGCAUUUGCCAGGGCUCUGACAGAUGUAAAGUAAGCCUCAUCCAUGUUGUGUUCUCACCGGGACACCUGGAAGGUGUUCAGUGUAGAAAAGUCACGAGCUAGAUGAGAUACCAGCUUGAUGUCAACUCCCUCCCCAACAAUGGCUGCCUGUCUUUGUCUUAAUGCCUGCCAGCAGGAAAGCACUGUCUUAGAACCCAGCUCACCUGAUUUUGCCGAUGAGUCAACUUCGAAGUGUGCCUCAUUCCGGAAAGUGAAUCACGUAAUCACAAUGGAGUCUUGCUCUUGUUGCCCAGGCUGGAGUGCAAUGGCAUGAUCUUGGCUCACUGCAACCUCUGCCUCCUGGUAGAGAUGGGGUUUCAUCAUGUUCGCCAGGCUGGUUUCGAACUCCUGACCUCAAGAGAUCUGCCCGCCUCGACCUCCCAAAGUGCUAGGAUUACAGGCAUGAGCCACCACGCCCGGCCUUAUAUAUUGAAUUUUGUAUAUAAUUAAGCCUUAUCCUUUUUAAGGCAAUAUAUGUAACAAUAAAUAGCUGAAUUAAGUAAGCCCUCUGAAUUAAGUUAGUGGACCCUCAUAAAAGAUAAGUUUUAAAAUUAAAUAUUAUCUAAAGAUUUGAUAGUCUCCUAAUGGGAGUAUCUGAAUUAAGUGUCACAGCUAAAAAUAGUAGAGCGGUCACAUUCCCUAGGACCAGUUCUCAAACUUUGUUAAAAUGCAGAUUCCUGACCUCUAUCAUUAAACAUUUUCAUUUAGAAGUGGGGAGUGUGGCCUUCAUAUUUUAGCUGCUUAACUAGUAACACAGUGAAGACUGCAUAAGGGGUCAUUGGAUCACUUUUUGAAAAGCAUGGUCUUAGAGAAAAGGGACAUCCCACACUCUUUCACAGUGUAGCAACACGCGGGAAAGAGAACAGUCAAAUUGUUUUGAUAUGACGAAAGGAAAUGCAGGCUUUCUAGUAUACACAAAACAUAUUAAAAAAGCUAGAAGUUUAUCACUAAAGCUUUUGGAAGUAAAUCUACGUUUAGCAACUCAAUUUUUUAGAUUUUAUUCUCAAUUAUCCGGACAUGAGAUUGAGGUCUGUGAUUCUCAGGUCCUUUUAGUUAUGCAUAUCACUCAAGGAGCUAUGGACUUCAAAUGACUUACGUUUGUGAUAAAGCCUCAUUUAACCCACAAUAACAGGAAGGCUGCUCUGAUUUUCUGAAGUUAGAAAUGAGAGAUUAAAUAAGUACAUUUGUUGUAGUUUAAUAUUACACAUUUUAUGAUGAAAACAUUGUUUCUUACACUGCCUCCUACUAUCUGGAAAAUCAGUAACCCUAAAAUGUUCUUUCAAAACCAGAGACCUAAAUGGCUAGAAGCAAUAAUUGCUAGAGCUCUCUACCAAGUUUUGACUAUAAAUAUUUGGCCAUGUUGUGUGUUAGAAAGUAUAAGACACACUUGCUUUCAUUUCCUGAGCCUGACUCACUGAAUUUUCUCGUCCAGAUUUGCUUUCAUCUGUUUAUUCCUUUAUAGCAUAGAUUAGGUCCACUGUGGUUCUAAUCUCUGUUAUGCAUGCUUUUUUUUAUGAAUAAAAUGCCAGGCACACAGAACAUACAUAUGCACAUUUUACUACAAGAUAGUAAAAGCUCAAUGUGCUGGGACUGCAUUCCCAAUGUGACCUUAUUUUCCCACUCUUUGCAGUUUUAAAAUGUUAUGUUAAUCUCGCAUUCUGGACGAUCCCCGUCCAGAAUGGGGAUCUCUUUAGAUUUCUAGAAGAAAUCUAAAGAUUUCUUCUUAACAGUGAGUCCCGGCAAUGUAUAGUGGCCAUAGAAUAGCUAAAUUUGAAGAGGCUUUUUGGCAAAGAUUUGAAUAUCUGUCCUCUGACCUUUUAUGGUUCUUGUCUGUAUUUCAUAAUACAAAACUAAUGAGGAUUUCACUUUCGUGAAAUCUGCCUUGCUAAAUGCUGCUUGCAAAAAACACACUCAUUUGUUAGCAUUUGGGAUUCUGAUUAAAUCAUUUUGCUUUAGUGACUGUUAAAGAGUAUAGUUUGAAAGAAAAAAAAAUGUUUUUAGACUCCUGUAUAGUGUACCAAAAUCUAUGCAAAUUCUUACAAGGCCUUUUAAUGUACAGGUGAACCCCAGCACUUAUUAUCAUCUGAUGCACAGAUAAUGCACAUGUCACAUGUUGGUAAUAAAAUAUCAGAGUUAGACUGACACUCUUAGAGUGUUUAACACUGUUUUAUUGGCUUACUGGCCGUAAUUGGAUUCACUGCAUCCAUUUUUUUCAUGCCACCGCUUAAAACAUUUGCCACGUAUUUUAUCCAUGCUUUUGUCACAGCUUUGUCUGUAGCUACAUUGACUUGAUUACUCAUAUUCUAUGGCAAUUCCUGGCAUUUGGCUUAUUUUUCCACUAGCCUCCUUACUUUCAAAAAUCCGUCCAUCUCAUUUGUUGACAGCCUCUGAUUAUCUCAAAGGUACUUCAGAUUAUCCUGACACGCCCUUCCACUUCUGAGAAUACUGACCCAGUAUUUCAAGACUGAGGUGUCUCUGAGACAGAAGAUGGAGCCAGUGACGAUGUCCUCCCUUAUUCAGACUCUUUGAAUAAUGCUUUUUACUCACCCUAUGGACUCUGCUAGAAAGACACUUUAAUAUUUUUGCAAUUUAUAUUUUUCUAUUAUUGAAAAAUAAUAGAAACCACUGCCUUAGUCGGUUUAACAGUUUAACAAAGUUGUUUUCAAAAGAACAGAGAAAACGUAACUCCAUUUAGGUUGUCUUUCAUUUGCAAAUACUAACUGAAACUUGAGUUAGGGAUUGUAUAACUUGGAAGCAGUAUUAAUAAAAUGAAGUCAUUGGCAUAUUAAAAAUGUCCUAAUGUUCACUUCAAGUGUAUUUUUAAAAACCUCACAGGUAAUGGUGUGAAAGAAACAAAGGAGAUGUUUGCAUUCAUUAUGUUCCACUGGAAAAAAACGGUUAAUGUAAUUGUAUGGAUUUUUCCCUUCUUGUUUUUGUGUACUGUAUAGCCCAUUCUUUGCUUUAUGUACAAAUACCCUGGUUUCUAAGUGCUACUUAUUUUCUGCUGAAAUAAAAUAUCCUUUCAAUUUAGUGAGUAA